rnacentral:lncRNA from 1 species
AUGGUUCUUGAAUUAACACCCACAGAUCACUUCAAGGUGUUUAGGGUCUGGCCAUGCAUGUGCUCGCUCAGCUGCCAAGAAGCAAAAAAAAAAAAUGAAUUGGUUUGGAUCAACAAAAAAUACAUUUCUUCUCACCACAGUGAAACACUGACCAAUUUCCCAUUUGACUCAACCAUCUGUUCUGCAAGCGUCUGUCACUACACAGAGCCAAAGGGAGAUACAGACGGGCAGAUCCUGCUGCUGAGAUGCCCUUCAGCCCCACUCCUGAAGUGCUGUGCCACUGAACUGGCUGGAUUUUUGGCUCUCCAAGUAAAAGAAAGGAAAUAAAUCAAGAGAAAACAACAAAGAGGGAUGAAGAGAGAGAGUCUAGAUUUGAACUGAUAUGAAACCCAGGACUUGGUGUGUAGCCCAGUAAAUACUGGAAUGACAUUACCUGAGCUUUAAAAAAAAAAAAAAAAGACUAAUUGUUAAGCUUAAUUUGUAUCUGUAGUGGAACUGGGGAGCAGACACCAUGGAAAUAUCAUUAUUUCUUUUAAUCAUUUUCUUUGGUAACAGAAUCAGAAGGAAACAGCUUUGGAGAGAUUCUUGUUAUAUUUUCUCUGCCUCCGUCUUUUCUUUCUGAUUCCCUCCACUGUUCCCAGCUCUGUCAAGACUGUGACAAACUUAAUUACCAGCAAACAGUAGGAAAUCCAGAUGACAUAUCGCUCCUUUUUUUUUUUUUUUCUUUUGACUUCAUAAAAGCUUUCUAGUCUUUAAUCUAAAGCGAGUAAGGACAGGGGCCAGAUGGUGCUGGUCUCCGAGAAUGGCAGCAUCUGAAUCCUUGAGAUCUUCUUCAGAGUCAGAAAGCCAAAGACGUGGGUAACUAAAACUUCCUGGGGCUGUGUGUUUCAGGGCUGGAGUUUCAGAAAACGUGGUUGUGGUCCUGGGCAACCUGCUCCAGGUGUCCCUGCCUGAGCAGGGCCGUGGGACCAGAGGUUCUCCAGAAGCGCCUCCCAUCCUCAACCAUUUUGCAAUUCCAAGAGGGCCAGAUUUGCAGAGCACCCCACUGCUGCCUGGGGGGUUGUCACUCUGCUGGUGAAAGAGGACUAAUUGCACUAAUUGCAGGAGCACUCACAGCAGCCACUGCAGAGCUCUGGGCUCUCUGUGUGUGGCUCUGGCCUCAGCCGUGCUGAUGCUGGGUUGGCCAUAAAUCGCGAGCUGGGUGAUGUGCUCUCAGUGAAAAGGGUUUUUGCCCCCAAGUGGUGCUUCUGGGGGUGUAGCACAACCCCAGGUCGUGUUUGGUGACUGGGUUUUGUAUGAUUAAAAAGAAUUAAAAGAAAACUGCCAU